rnacentral:tRNA from 1 species
UCGUUAGCUCAGUUGGUAGAGCAUCUGACUUUUAAUCAGGGGGUCGGCAGUUCGAGUCUGACAGCCGGA